rnacentral:rRNA from 1 species
AUAAGUUACUAAGGGCGCACGAAGGAUGCCUUGGCUCUCAGAGGCGAUGAAGGACGCGUUAAGCUGCGAUAAGCUCCGGGGAACUGCCUAAAAAGUUUUGAUCCGGAGAUUUCCGAAUGGGACAACCUGCCUGUUUUAACGGGCUUAGAGCAAACCCGCUGAACUGAAACAUCUAAGUAAGCGGAGGAAAAGAAAACAAUAGUGAUUUCCCAAGUAGUGGCGAGCGAACGGGAAAUAGCCCAAACCCAUAUGGUUACGGCCAUAUGGGGGUUGUAGGACUGCAACGUGGAUGCAAAAACAAAUUGGAAGCUAUCUGGAAUGAUACGCCAAAGGAGGUGAAAGCCCCGUACAAGUAAAGUUUUGCAUGCUAGCAGUAUCCUGAGUACCGCGGGGUCGGAGACGCCUUGCGGGAAUCUGCCAGCACCAUCUGGUAAGGCUAAAUACUCCUGAGAGACCGAUAGUGAACCAGUACUGUGAAGGAAAGGUGAAAAGUAUCCCGAAAAGGGAGGUGAAAAGAACCUGAAAUCGUGCGCCUACAAGCGGUCGGAGUUCCCUAGUGGAAUGACGGCGUGCCUUUUGCAUAAUGAGCCUACGAGUUACUCCUCACUGGCAAGGUUAAUCUGCUAGAGCAGAGCAGCCGAAGCGAAAGCGAGUCUUAACAGGGCGUAUAGUCAGUGGGGGUAGACGCGAAACUUUGUGAUCUACCCUUGAGCAGGAUGAAGUUACGGUAACACGUAAUGGAGGUCCGAACCGGUAAACGUUGAAAAGUUUUCGGAUGACUUGAGGGUAGGGGUGAAAGGCUAAUCAAACUGAGAGAUAGCUCGUACUCUCCGAAAUGUUUUUAGGAACAGCCUCAGAGUAAGUGUAACAGAGGUAGAGCUACCAAUUGGGUAAGGGGGUGUCAAAGCCUACCGAACUCAGAUAAACUCCGAAUGCUGUUACAUAUAUCUGGGAGUGAGGGCAUGGGUGCUAAGGUCCUUGCCCGAGAGGGAAACAACCCAGACCAACAGCUAAGGUCCCCAAAUGUGUACUAAGUUGAUCAAAUGUCGUCCAGUUGCAUUGACAGCCAGGAUGUUUGCUUGGAAGCAGCAAUUCAUUUAAAGAGUGCGUAACAGCUCACUGGUCGAGAGGCCCUGCACGGAAAAUGAUCGGGCAUCAAACUACGAACCGAAGUUCUAUGAUUGCAUUUAUGUAAUCGGUAGGGGAGCAUUCUAACCUGCGUUGAAGCAUUAUGGUGAUGUAUUGUGGAGCGGUUAGAAAAGAAAAUGUAGGCAUAAGUAACGAUAAAAUAAGUGAAAAACUUAUUCGCCGUAAGACUAAGGUUUCCUGAUCAACGUUAAUCGGAUCAGGGUUAGUCGGGUCCUUAGGCAAACCCGAAAGGGGUAGUCGAUGGAAAGCUGGUUAAUAUUCCAGCACCUGCUAUGCAAUGAAAGUGACGGAUUGAUGUAGUCUGUACGUACUGACGGAAUAGUGCGUUGAGUUGAAUCUUCGGAGGAGACGAACAGGUGAAAUUGGUUCCAAGAAAAGCGAGUAUAGCAGCUCGUACCGCAAACCGACACAGGUAGUCGAGAUGAGUAUUCUAAGGCGCUCGGGUGAGCCGUGGAGAAGGAACUAGGCAAAUUGACGCUGUAACUUCGGGAUAAGGCGUGCCUGCUUCGGUAGGCCACAGUAAAAUGAUCCAACCAACUGUUUAACAAAAACACAGGGCCCUGCAAAAUCGAAAGAUGACGUAUAGAGCCUGAUACCUGCCCGGUGCCGGAAGGUUAAGGAAGGGUGUUCGUCUCUACGCAAGUAGAGACAAAGCACUUGACUGAAGCCCCGGUAAACGGCGGCCGUAACUAUAACGGUCCUAAGGUAGCGAAAUUCCUUGUCGGGUAAGUUCCGAC